ACUCAAAGGAAUAGACGGGGACCCGCACAAGCAGUGGAGCAUGUGGUUUAAUUCGAUGCAACGCGAAGAACCUUACCCAGACUUGACAUAUAGUAGACAGUGGCAGAAAUGUCAUCUCCCUUCGGGGCUGCUAUACAGGUGCUGCAUGGCUGUCGUCAGCUCGUGCCGUGAGGUGUUGGGUUAAGUCCCGCAACGAGCGCAACCCUUAUCAUUAGUUGCCAACAGGUAAUGCUGGGAACUCUAAUGAGACUGCCUAGGUUAACUAGGAGGAAGGUGAGGAUGACGUCAAGUCCGCAUGGCCCUUAUGUCUGGGGCUACACACGUGCUACAAUGGGCGGUACAGACAGCAGCGAAGCCGCAAGGUAUAGCAAAUCUUAUAAAGCCGCUCUCAGUUCAGAUUGUAGUCUGCAACUCGACUACAUGAAGCUGGAAUUGCUAGUAAUGGCGUGUCAGCUACAACGCCGUGAAUACGUUCCCGGGUCUUGCACACACCGCCCGU
rnacentral:rRNA from 1 species